CACGAAGGGGGCUAGCGUUGCUCGGAAUGACUGGGCGUAAAGGGCGCGUAGGCGGUUUGGACAGUCAGAUGUGAAAUUCCUGGGCUCAACCUGGGGGCUGCAUUUGAUACGUUCGGACUAGAGUGGGGAAGAGGGUCGUGGAAUUCCCAGUGUAGAGGUGAAAUGCGUAGAGAUCCGGCGGAACACCGGUGGUGAAGGCGGUCGCCUGGGCCGAGGGCCGACGCUGAGGCGCGAGAGCGUGGGGAGCGAACCGG
rnacentral:rRNA from 1 species